rnacentral:rRNA from 1 species
UACGUAGGGCGCAAGCGUUGUCCGGAAUUAUUGGGCGUAAAGAGCUCGUAGGCGGUUUGUCGCGUCUGCUGUGAAAACCUAAGGCUCAACCUUGGGCUUGCAGUGGGUACGGGCAGACUAGAGUACUGCAGGGGAGACUGGAAUUCCUGGUGUAGCGGUGAAAUGCGCAGAUAUCAGGAGGAACACCGGUGGCGAAGGCGGGUCUCUGGGCCGAUACUGACGCUGAGGCGCGAAAGCGUGGGGAGCAAACAGG